AACUUUCAACAACGGAUCUCUUGGUUCUCGCAACGAUGAAGAACGCAGCGAAAUGCGAUACGUAUUGUGAAUUGCAGAUUUUCGUGAAUCAUCGAAUCUUUGAACGCACAUUGCACCCUCUGGUAUUCCAGAGGGUAUGCCUGUUUGAGCGUCAUUU
rnacentral:rRNA from 1 species